rnacentral:rRNA from 1 species
AUGAGAAGGAAUAUAUGUGGGGUCUGCUGGGCCGGGUCUGACAUGGCGAUCACCUGGGCGCCCCCAUAUCCGCCUCAUAUUUGGGCUGGAUAUGAGGGGUGCCGGUCACCCCGAACAUUUGAGGUCGUGCUGUCCUUUCUGCCCUCGGACGAGACAGUGCGGACGUGCGUGCUCGCUCGGCGCUGGCGCCACCUCUGGAAGUCCACACCUGCCCUACGCAUCAUCCAGGGUGGUAUGAUGUACUGGAAUGCCAAGGAGAUGAAUAACUUCGUGAACUACCUUCUGCUCUUCCGCGACCGCUUGCCCUUAGAUGAAUGUGAGAUCAGCUACAGCAAACCCUGUGACAGUGAGGAAUACAGUGAGAUAUUCCGGUUCGCUAAUAUGCGGAUCCACUAUGCCGUGUCACUCUGCCAAACUAAGGUGCUCAAAGUCUGCAUCCGCAAUGUGCAGGUCUGGCUGAUGCAUGGCAAUUCCACUCUCAUGUCACAGUUUCUCAGGAGGGUGGAGCUUACAGGUGUGACUAUGUGGAAACAUUCUCUAGACUUCUCAAGCUGCCCCACAUUGGAGGAUCUGAAUCUGUGCUCUUCAAGAAUUUAUGGCCCCAAGAUCUCAUCCCAGUCAGUGAGAUGUCUAAGUAUCACUCAGUGUCAAUUCAACGUGGAUACUGGUUCCCGCAUGCGUAUUUCUGCCCCAUGUCUCGUAUACUUACAACUAGCUGAUGUUUCUGGGACUGCUCCUCUGCUUGAGAGAAUGCCGUUGUUGGUAACAGCAUUUAUCAGGCUUGGUCGCGGUGGUUUUGGUACCUGUACACAUGAAGCUUACGGGGAUUGUGAUGAAUGUUUUCCGUAUGAUGGUUAUUAUUAUGGUCACGAUGACUAUGGUGCCUCCUUUGCUAACUAUCAUGGCAGCAAUGACUCUGUGCUUCUACAAGGCUUGUCAGGCGCCACCAGUUUAGGGUUGACGACUAUUGAUCCUAAUGUGUUCACUUUCAGAAAGGAUUUGAAACAGUGCCCUACAUUUAGUAUGCUCAAGACAUUAUUACUCAAUGAGUGGUGUGUAGCGGCUGACUUUGGUGCACUAGUUAAGUUUCUUCAGUGCACGCCAAUUCUGGAGAAACUUAUUAUUCAACUUCGACUUGAAAAGCUACCGAGAGUGAAUUCUAUGAUAGAAACAUAUGAAAGCUAUAACCCAGCAGUACAGUUGGUAUUGAAGCAUCUCAAGGACGUUGAAAUCAAAUGUCAUAAGGAAGAUGAGGUGGUUCGCCAGAUUGUGAAGAUCCUGAGUACCUUUGGAGUACUUUCUGAUCAAAUUGACAUCCAAGUUAUCCAACAGACAUAUGUUUCUGGAAGUUUCGAUCAGUUUCGAGCAGACUGA